rnacentral:tRNA from 1 species
GUGGCUGUAGCUCAAUGGCAGAGCAUCUGUUUGUGGAACAGAUGGUUGUGGGUUCGAUCCCCAUCAGCCACCCCA